CAGGACAUCCAGUAACAUUUGGAUUUCACAUAAACAAUGGAUAAUUUUUUUAGGAUCAGUAUGUCCCAUGCAAUAUUUGGGACACACUUAUACUAAAAAUUAUUUGCUGUUUACCUGAAAUUCAAAUGUUACUGGAUGUCUGGA
rnacentral:miRNA from 1 species